UAGACUUUGACCCUAAAACCGCAUAUAAUGAACCUUAAGAGUGCCUAAACCUAGGAUAGAACCCUUUCUACCCAAUGAUAGAUAUACCUUGAAGUUAAGACACAAAAAAGGUGUUUAUCUAAUCAUUUUGAUUGUUUAACUUUGUGUAUCAUUUUCAUUACCAUAUGUAACAUUAUACAUCAACAUCACUUUCAUUUCAUCCA
rnacentral:lncRNA from 1 species